GUUAGGAAUAUUGGACAAUGGGCGCAAGCCUGAUCCAGCCAUGCCGCGUGAGUGAUGAAGGCCUUCGGGUUGUAAAGCUCUUUAGCCGAUGAUUAUAAUGACUGUAGUCGGAAAAUAAGCCCCGGCUAACUUCGUGCCAGCAGCCGCGGUAAUACGAAGGGGGCGAGCGUUAUUCGGAAUCACUGGGCGUAAAGCGUGCGUAGGCGGCUUUGCAAGUUGGGAGUGAAAGACCAGGGCUCAACCCUGGAAUUGCUCUCAAAACUGCAAGGCUCGAAUUCGGGAGAGGAUAGCGGAAUUGUCAGUGUAGCAGUGAAAUGCGUAGAUAUUGACAGGAACACCAGUGGCGUAAGCGGCUAUCUGGACCGAUAUUGACGCUGAGGCACGAAAGCGUGGGGAUCAAACAGGAUUAGAAACCCCGGUAGUCC
rnacentral:rRNA from 1 species